rnacentral:rRNA from 1 species
GACGAACGCUGGCGGCGUGCUUAACACAUGCAAGUCGAACGGAAAGGCCCUGCUUUUGUGGGGUGCUCGAGUGGCGAACGGGUGAGUAACACGUGAGUAACCUGCCCUUGACUUUGGGAUAACUUCAGGAAACUGGGGCUAAUACCGGAUAGGAGCUCCUGCUGCAUGGUGGGGGUUGGAAAGUUUCGGCGGUUGGGGAUGGACUCGCGGCUUAUCAGCUUGUUGGUGGGGUAGUGGCUUACCAAGGCUUUGACGGGUAGCCGGCCUGAGAGGGUGACCGGCCACAUUGGGACUGAGAUACGGCCCAGACUCCUACGGGAGGCAGCAGUGGGGAAUAUUGCACAAUGGGCGGAAGCCUGAUGCAGCAACGCCGCGUGCGGGAUGACGGCCUUCGGGUUGUAAACCGCUUUCGCCUGUGACGAAGCGUGAGUGACGGUAAUGGGUAAAGAAGCACCGGCUAACUACGUGCCAGCAGCCGCGGUGAUACGUAGGGUGCGAGCGUUGUCCGGAUUUAUUGGGCGUAAGGGCUCGUAGGUGGUUGAUCGCGUCGGAAGUGUAAUCUUGGGGCUUAACCCUGAGCGUGCUUUCGAUACGGGUUGACUUGAGGAAGGUAGGGGAGAAUGGAAUUCCUGGUGGAGCGGUGGAAUGCGCAGAUAUCAGGAGGAACACCAGUGGCGAAGGCGGUUCUCUGGGCCUUUCCUGACGCUGAGGAGCGAAAGCGUGGGGAGCGAACAGGCUUAGAUACCCUGGUAGCCCACGCUGUAAACGGUGGGUACUAGGUGUGGGGUCCAUUCCACGGGUUCCGUGCCGUAGCUAACGCUUUAAGUACCCCGCCUGGGGAGUACGGCCGCAAGGCUAAAACUCAAAGGAAUUGACGGGGCCCCGCACAAGCGGCGGAGCAUGCGGAUUAAUUCGAUGCAACGCGUAGAACCUUACCUGGGUUUGACAUGGAUCGGGAGCGCUCAGAGAUGGGUGUGCCUCUUUUGGGGUCGGUUCACAGGUGGUGCAUGGCUGUCGUCAGCUCGUGUCGUGAGAUGUUGGGUUAAGUCCCGCAACGAGCGCAACCCUUGUUCACUGUUGCCAGCACGUUAUGGUGGGGACUCAGUGGAGACCGCCGGGGUCAACUCGGAGGAAGGUGGGGAUGACGUCAAGUCAUCAUGCCCCUUAUGUCCAGGGCUUCACGCAUGCUACAAUGGCUGGUACAGAGAGUGGCGAGCCUGUGAGGGUGAGCGAAUCUCGGAAAGCCGGUCUCAGUUCGGAUUGGGGUCUGCAACUCGACCUCAUGAAGUCGGAGUCGCUAGUAAUCGCAGAUCAGCAACGCUGCGGUGAAUACGUUCCCGGG